UACACUCCUACGGGAGGCAGCAGUGGGGAAUUUUGGACAAUGGGCAAAAGCCUGAUCCAGCAAUGCCGCGUGAGUGAAGAAGGCCUUCGGGUUGUAAAGCUCUUUUGUCAGGGAAGAAACGGUGAAAGCUAAUAUCUUUUGCUAAUGACGGUACCUGAAGAAUAAGCACCGGCUAACUACGUGCCAGCAGCCGCGGUAAUACGUAGGGUGCAAGCGUUAAUCGGAAUUACUGGGCGUAAAGCGUGCGCAGGCGGUUUUGUAAGUCUGAUGUGAAAUCCCCGGGCUCAACCUGGGAAUUGCAUUGGAGACUGCAAGGCUAGAAUCUGGCAGAGGGGGGUAGAAUUCCACGUGUAGCAGUGAAAUGCGUAGAUAUGUGGAGGAACACCGAUGGCGAAGGCAGCCCCCUGGGUCAAGAUUGACGCUCAUGCACGAAAGCGUGGGGAGCAAACAGGAUUAGAAACCCCUGUAGUCCC
rnacentral:rRNA from 1 species